rnacentral:rRNA from 1 species
UACGUAGGCAGCAAGCGUUGUUCGGAUUCACUGGGCGUAAAGGGUGCGUAGGCGGUUGUUUAAGUUUGGUGUGAAAUCUCCCGGCUCAACUGGGAGGGUGCGCCGAAUACUGAAUGACUAGAGUGCGGGAGAGGAGAGUGGAAUUCCUGGUGUAGCGGUGAAAUGCGUAGAUGUCAGGAGGAACACCGGUGGUGUAGACGGCUCUCUGGACCGUAACUGACGCUGAGGCACGAAAGCGUGGGUAGCAAACAGG